AAGUGACAGAUAAGAGGGAAUAAUUAAUUUAUCAGAGGAGACCAGACUCUAAUCCCCGGUGUCCCAGUGAUAAGGUUGUUUUUUUUCACUCUCUCUCCUUCCUUUAGAUCUCUUCUGGUGAUAGAAAGCUCUCUCUCAGCAGGUUCUGUUAAUAAGCCUGUCAGAGAGGCCAGGGAGAGCCCGUCCAGAGCAGGUUAUCUCCUCACCACACACCCACGUCUCCCCCUGACAGCGUCUGGCUGGCCGCUCGACGGCCCUUUGAAACCUCAGGAGCACUGGGCCGCCUUCUGCAGGCCUUCGAGGCAGCCCUGUCAUUUGAACUGGCUAAUUCCAGCAUCGGGGGGCAGAAAAGGGCCAGAGGACUCGGCGGCUGACAGUCCCGUCAGCACAGGCGAGCCAUCGCUUUGGGUUUAAACGUGGGCAUCUCUCCUGAGGUGGUCGCGCAUUUAUCAUAUCGUGUGUGUGUGGAUUCAACUGCCCCUCGCGGUGUGAGACGCUUUUGUGUGCCUGCUUUCUCCAUCUGUGCAGGCCUGUCUGGUAGCGCCAGUCUGGAUCUGUCUGCCCUGCACAGCACGAAAUAUGUGUGUGUUUGUGUGUGUGAAGAGAUGAGGUCAAUAAGGAAGGUGGAUAUCAUGUGGGAGUUUAAGCAGACAGAGUCUUUAAUAAAUAAUAACCUGUAUGAUUGAAGCUUAGCCAGGUUCUGUACACAGGUGGACAUCGCCUUCAUUUCUGGGAAAUGUAUUAAAAUCCUUUUCAAAAGUAGUAAUUGAAAACCCAGGGACAAGAUUAACAACUUGGCGGUUGUGGAAUUUGAUGGUUUAUGAAUAACAAUGCUCCAACUAUUUUUUUUUCUCAUGAAUAUUUAAAAUGUCAAAUAUUAAUCAGAUAUGAGAUCGAAUUUAGUUUGCAGAUAAGAUGUUAAUGCUGCAGCUGCUGCUGUUUUUAUAAGCAGGGAUUUGUUUACUGUGUGUAUUCUUUAAUGUUAUUAUUUGUCAGAUUUAAUAUAUCAUUAUAUACCAUUAUAUUCUAUAUUUGUAUUCUUUUCUUUUUGAUCAUAUACCAUCUGAUCAUCAUUAGAGGUAGGUAUUGAUCUGUUCAAACCAGGGAUUUUGGCAAUGCUAGUGCUAUGUUUGAUUCCAAUCUAUUUAAAGUCAGAUGAAGUGAAAAUUCA